rnacentral:rRNA from 1 species
UACGAAGGGGGCUAGCGUUGCUCGGAAUCACUGGGCGUAAAGGGUGCGUAGGCGGGUCUUUAAGUCAGGGGUGAAAUCCUGGAGCUCAACUCCAGAACUGCCUUUGAUACUGAGGAUCUUGAGUUCGGGAGAGGUGAGUGGAACUGCGAGUGUAGAGGUGAAAUUCGUAGAUAUUCGCAAGAACACCAGUGGCGAAGGCGGCUUACUGGUCCGGUUCUGACGCUGAGGCGCGGAAAGCGUGGGGAGCAAACAGGG